AGAAACCGCUGUAAGGGUAGGAACCCUGACACACACUGCCUUACCCACCGUGCCUUUCAAAAUCGUGGAGUCUUUUGGUGGAAUUGUCUGGGGCAUGUAGGUAUGACCUACAGGAUCGUGUCAUUUGCAGGUCUUCGAGAGCUAUGUGAAGGAUGAAUUGGUGUAAAACUGCUAUCAACUGCUGCUUGGCUGUUUACAAGUACCUUGGUAUUUCUUCAACAGGU